GGGCGUAUAGCUCAGUUGGCUAGAGCGCUUCCUCGACACGGAAGAGGUCCACGGUUCAAGUCCGUGUACGCCCACCA
rnacentral:tRNA from 2 species